rnacentral:rRNA from 1 species
AAGGAGCUUGCUCCCGGGUGUUAGCGGCGGACGGCUGAGUAACACGUGGGUAACCUGCCUGUAAGACUGGGAUAACUCCGGGAAACCGGAGCUAAUACCGGAUAGUUCCUUGAACCGCAUGGUUCAAGGAUGAAAGACGGUUUCGGCUGUCACUUACAGAUGGACCCGCGGCGCAUUAGCUAGUUGGUGGGGUAAUGGCUCACCAAGGCGACGAUGCGUAGCCGACCUGAGAGGGUGAUCGGCCACACUGGGACUGAGACACGGCCCAGACUCCUACGGGAGGCAGCAGUAGGGAAUCUUCCGCAAUGGACGAAAGUCUGACGGAGCAACGCCGCGUGAGUGAUGAAGGUUUUCGGAUCGUAAAGCUCUGUUGUUAGGGAAGAACAAGUGCGAGAGUAACUGCUCGCACCUUGACGGUACCUAACCAGAAAGCCACGGCUAACUACGUGCCAGCAGCCGCGGUAAUACGUAGGUGGCAAGCGUUGUCCGGAAUUAUUGGGCGUAAAGGGCUCGCAGGCGGUUUCUUAAGUCUGAUGUGAAAGCCCCCGGCUCAACCGGGGAGGGUCAUUGGAAACUGGGAAACUUGAGUGCAGAAGAGGAGAGUGGAAUUCCACGUGUAGCGGUGAAAUGCGUAGAGAUGUGGAGGAACACCAGUGGCGAAGGCGACUCUCUGGUCUGUAACUGACGCUG